CCAAUAGCGUAUAUUAAAGUUGUUGCAGUUAAAAAGCUCGUAGUUGAAUUUCGGGAUCAAUAUGUCGGUCGUGCUUCGGUACGUACUGGCGUAAUUGGUUUCUCCCUUCUGAAGAACUUCGAUGUCAUUAAUUUGGUGUCGUGGGGAAUCAGGACUGUUACUUUGAAAAAAUUAGAGUGUUUAAAGCAGGCUCGCGCUUGAAUACAUUAGCAUGGAAUAAUGAAAUAGGACGUUUGAUUCUAUUUUGUUGGUUUCUAGGAUCGACGUAAUGAUUAAUAGGGAGAGUUGGGGGCAUUAGUAUUCAAUUGUCAGAGGUGAAAUUCUUGGAUUUAUUGAAGACUAACUACUGCGAAAGCAUUUGCCAAGGAUGUUUUCAUUAAUCAAGAACGAAAGUUAGGGGAUCGAGGACGAUCAGAUACCGUCGUAGUCUUAACCAUAGACUAUGCCGACUAGGGAUCGGAUGAUGUUAAUUUUUUUUAACGACUCAUUCGGCGCCUUAUG
rnacentral:rRNA from 1 species